CUCCACUAGCUCGGUGAGGUACAUACUAUGCCCAUUUAACAGAUGAGGAAACAGAUGGUCAGAGAGCUCAGAUAAGAAGCCCAGGGUCUCACCAUGUAGAAUCUGGAUGCAGGGCCAAGUUGUCUUGGAACUGGAAUUUGGAACACCUGACAUGCUUGGUUCUUUAUUUCCUGCUGUUUCCUGAGGGAACUGACCUGCCCAAGCAGGACCAAAAGGCUACCCCAUGAAGAAAAGCUCUGCUACUGGAUCAUUGUUCUCAUCUCUCUCUGGGUCUCUGCUCAGUGGAGGCAGAAAAGAUGCUUUUCCAUUUCUAUUGCCUGUCUUCCUCUCCAUUCACAUGCACUUUCCCACUGACUACAGUAAGGAUGUAAGAAACACCCCCAUAGAGUUGAUACAAUCAAGUUUCCUUCUGCCGGAAUGUCAGCAUCUGGAAUGGCACCAAAGGAUUUGAGAAGAAUGAUGCCAGGACACCAGAUUUUCAAACAAGCAUCUAUCAGCCAUGCGGUUGCUCUGAAGUCACAUGGUCAGCCUGCCAUUUGGGGUAUCAUAGUUUCUUGCAGAUCACAAUGGAGCUGGGUUGGAUUUCGUGCUGGCAUCUCUUAAGGCAAAUUCACAUUCGACAGGCCUCUGCAGAUUGGAGCAGAAGCAGCAGCUCCCUGGGCAGCCCAGUUCUAGGGCACAAAUGUACUGGCAAUCUGUUAACUCAAAAGCUUAUGUUAUGAUUUCAUCCUGAACUGAGCCUAUGAAGAAAGCUUUCUCCAGAAAUCUUGGGAAUAACUUUAGAAGAUUCUAAUUGUGCAGCUAAAUAACUUUG
rnacentral:lncRNA from 1 species